UACGAAGGGGGCUAGCGUUGCUCGGAAUUACUGGGCGUAAAGCGCGUGUAGGCGGCUCUGCAAGUCAGGUGUGAAAUCCCACGGCUCAACCAUGGAAGUGCACUUGAAACUGCAGGGCUAGAGUCCUGGAGAGGAAGGUGGAAUGCUUGGUGUAGAGGUGAAAUUCGUAGAUAUCAAGCGGAACACCGGUGGCGAAGGCGGCCUUCUGGACAGUGACUGACGCUGAGACGCGAAAGCGUGGGGAGCAAACAGG
rnacentral:rRNA from 1 species